rnacentral:rRNA from 1 species
GACGAACGCUGGCGGCGUGCUUAACACAUGCAAGUCGAACGGAAAGGCCCUGCUUUUGUGGGGUGCUCGAGUGGCGAACGGGUGAGUAACACGUGAGUAACCUGCCCUUGACUUUGGGAUAACUUCAGGAAACUGGGGCUAAUACCGGAUAGGAGCUCCUGCUGCAUGGGGGGGGUUGGAAAGUUUCGGCGGUUGGGGAUGGACUCGCGGCUUAUCAGCUUGUUGGUGGGGUAGUGGCUUACCAAGGCUUUGACGGGUAGCCGGCCUGAGAGGGUGAACGGCCACAUUGGGACUGAGAUACGGCCCAGACUCCAACGGGAGGCAGCAGUGGGGAAUAUUGCACAAUGGGCGGAAGCCUGAUGCAGCAACGCCGGGUGCGGGAUGACGGCCUUCGGGUUGUGAACCGCUUUCGCCUGUGACGAAGAGUGAGUGACGGUAAUGGGUAAAGAAGCACCGGCUAACUACGUG